CAGAAUAUAUGAUGAUCUCAACUUGAACUCUCUCACUGAUGACUUGAUGACAGUAAAUGAUCUGAUAUUCUG
rnacentral:snoRNA from 10 species